AGUCUCAGAUUGAACGCUGGCGGCAGGCCUAACACAUGCAAGUCGAGCGGUAGCACAGGGAGCUUGCUCUUGGGUGACGAGCGGCGGACGGGUGAGUAAUGUCUGGGAAACUGCCUGAUGGAGGGGGAUAACUACUGGAAACGGUAGCUAAUACCGCAUAACGUCGCAAGACCAAAGAGGGGGACCUUCGGGCCUCUUGCCAUCAGAUGUGCCCAGAUGGGAUUAGCUAGUAGGUGGGGUAACGGCUCACCUAGGCGACGAUCCCUAGCUGGUCUGAGAGGAUGACCAGCCACACUGGAACUGAGACACGGUCCAGACUCCUACGGGAGGCAGCAGUGGGGAAUAUUGCACAAUGGGCGCAAGCCUGAUGCAGCCAUGCCGCGUGUAUGAAGAAGGCCUUCGGGUUGUAAAGUACUUUCAGCGGGGAGGAAGGCGAUAAGGUUAAUAACCUUGUCGAUUGACGUUACCCGCAGAAGAAGCACCGGCUAACUCCGUGCCAGCAGCCGCGGUAAUACGGAGGGUGCAAGCGUUAAUCGGAAUUACUGGGCGUAAAGCGCACGCAGGCGGUCUGUCAAGUCGGAUGUGAAAUCCCCGGGCUCAACCUGGGAACUGCAUUCGAAACUGGCAGGCUAGAGUCUUGUAGAGGGGGGUAGAAUUCCAGGUGUAGCGGUGAAAUGCGUAGAGAUCUGGAGGAAUACCGGUGGCGAAGGCGGCCCCCUGGACAAAGACUGACGCUCAGGUGCGAAAGCGUGGGGAGCAAACAGGAUUAGAUACCCUGGUAGUCCACGCCGUAAACGAUGUCGACUUGGAGGUUGUGCCCUUGAGGCGUGGCUUCCGGAGCUAACGCGUUAAGUCGACCGCCUGGGGAGUACGGCCGCAAGGUUAAAACUCAAAUGAAUUGACGGGGGCCCGCACAAGCGGUGGAGCAUGUGGUUUAAUUCGAUGCAACGCGAAGAACCUUACCUACUCUUGACAUCCAGAGAACUUUCCAGAGAUGGAUUGGUGCCUUCGGGAACUCUGAGACAGGUGCUGCAUGGCUGUCGUCAGCUCGUGUUGUGAAAUGUUGGGUUAAGUCCCGCAACGAGCGCAACCCUUAUCCUUUGUUGCCAGCGGUCCGGCCGGGAACUCAAAGGAGACUGCCAGUGAUAAACUGGAGGAAGGUGGGGAUGACGUCAAGUCAUCAUGGCCCUUACGAGUAGGGCUACACACGUGCUACAAUGGCGCAUACAAAGAGAAGCGACCUCGCGAGAGCAAGCGGACCUCAUAAAGUGCGUCGUAGUCCGGAUUGGAGUCUGCAACUCGACUCCAUGAAGUCGGAAUCGCUAGUAAUCGUAGAUCAGAAUGCUACGGUGAAUACGUUCCCGGGCCUUGUACACACCGCCCGUCACACCAUGGGAGUGGGUUGCAAAAGAAGUAGGUAGCUUAACCUUCGGGAGGGCGCU
rnacentral:rRNA from 1 species